GGAGCCAAUAAUUAGAGGAUAUCAUGAACCAAGGCUUAUUUUUAAUUAAUUCUGUGCCCCUGAGGUCCAGA
rnacentral:snoRNA from 1 species